rnacentral:lncRNA from 1 species
AUCCUUAUUUAGCAAAGCUACUACUAAACCUAGUAUGCUAGUAUUCAUCUCAUAAAGGAACUUGAAUUCAAUGCAUCUAGGAUUUCAAACAACAUCUAUACUUAAUGCACAAUACAAGCCUACAAAAAUAAUUGCAGUAAAAUAGCAUAAUAACGGUUAUGCAUAAAACCGGGACUUGCCUAGAAUCCAACACUAGCUAGUGUUUGCUAGAGGGUAAUCACUCGACGAGCAUCCACUUUUUCAGUCCAUCCUUCUUCGGGUUGUCCACCAACUUCAUCUUGUGGUCCACCCCCCUUCACGUCCUUCACUUCACACGAUCAUCAUCUCUCGGUACUAAAUGAGAUGCAUGAUGCAUAUGUAUGAACAUGACGAAAAAAACACAAGACACUCCAAGGCACAUGGUAGCAAACUAAACAUUAAAUCGUAAGACACCAUAAAUAACUAUAUGCAAGCGCUAUCUAUCUAUACGUUAUCGGGCACACAAAGUCAACAUCACUGGAAAAACACCAAACACUUCCUUUAGUUAACCAACUCAAACAAGAAAUCACAAGUACAAGCAUUCAUCCAAUUUGUUUGUCUUUCAUUAGUUCUUCUAUUGACCACACAAGAGCAACCAGAACAACAUAAGUUUAAAUUGGCCAUGGACAUUGAUGACUAUGGAACUCCUAUCACAGCCAACUAUAGAGAGCAAGCACAUUAAUCAUGGUAUACAUGUUAAUUUAAGUUUAUCCAUUGCAAGUCUACAUCAAUUAAGCGCUAACCAAGUAUUUUUACUCAAAAGGGUGAACUCAAUAAUAAAAUGAGCACUUGUAGAUUUUUGGAUAGCAGCAUAACAGUUAUUCUAUUAAUCAUAACUCAAAAAAUAUUCAUCCAAAAAUAGUUAACAAAGACUUUCGAAAAAGCUUACAAAGUACUCUAUAACUUUAGUAUUAUCAACUCAACGUGAUUAGACCCUUAGCAAGGUCAAUUAGUGCUAAAACGAUGACUCUAUCCAGAUUUGGACACAUUCAGAUUUCUUACUUCAAAAAUCCAUAACUAGAGGCUCAUGCAUCCAAAAUAAGCGAUCCUAGACUUUCUAAAAAAUUUAAUGAAAUUGCCAACAAAACAUUUAUAAACAUUCUAGGCUGAUUCAAUAUGCAUCAAGGGUAAAGGACAUCAGGAAAGCCUUGCUGUCCAGAUUUGGACAGAUUCAUGCUCCACACUUCAAACAUUUAUAACUUGAGCUUUAGACAAUCAAAAAGUGCGAUCCAAGACUUUUUGGAAAUCCUAUUAAAAAUACUACACACACUCUAUAAUCAUCAAAAGUAAUUCCUAGUUCAAUUAAUCCAAACAACACAAUUUUCGAAAUCUAUUCAGAGAGUGGAUAGAAUACAACAAUCUUUUUGUAAAAUUCAUAUCUCUGAAACUAUCAGUCCUAUGGUCAUUAAAUUUUAACACAAGCAAGAUAAGUAAGUUAUCUACAACUUUCUUAUGAUCACCUUAAGAUGAUUUAGUAAUUAACUAGUACAAGUGUUAGCAAAAAGCAAUGUUGUUAGAUUUCAAUGUGCAACUUAAAAUAGUCAUGAACAGUGUUCUAUAUAUCAAAUACAUAUGGUUCUAGACUUUUUAGAAAUCUUAGGAAAAACACUAAAACUCUUACAAUAUCUCUAAGAAGUGAUUCUAAGUCUAAGUUAGUCAAACAACACAAUCAUUGAGAUAUAUGUACAGAAAACAAGUAAAUCCGGACAGUGAACUUGCUAGAAGCAUAACUUCUAGACCAUUAAUCAUUAGCUCAUGAAAUUUUAGUACAAUCUAUAUAAUUAAGUUAAUUACAACUUUUAUAUAGAACAUAUCUAUAAAAACAUAUUUUUACUUUACUAGAUUAAUUAUAUACUCGAAACUGUACCUGCAAUCCUCACAACGACGACAUUUUGCUUCAUUUUUUACAUAGCCAUUACAAUUAUCAUCCACUCGCUACUCUAGUUGCUUUAAAACCUAACCAUAGUCACACAAUUGGUGGUGUGAUAGCUAUGAAGUCAUGACAUCCCUUCACUAAACAAUCCAAUUAAACCAAACAACUCUAACUGAACUCGUCGACUGGUCUAUUAAAUUCUAACCUCUUGACAUGAUGAAAUCAAUAUGAUAAACCACUAAUGAACCAUAAUUAAAUAUCUACCUUCUAUAAUUUAUUAUCUUGAGCUAACAACAUAGAAGGUGAUACCUCUAAGACAAGAUAUUCAUGUUACCAUAAAUUAAGAGUUCACACAAGUAAUACUAAUAGCGCUUAUCAGUCAAAGGGCUAGAUGCUCUAAACAUUUUCUUUGAAUACUUAAUCACACCUCAUCAUCUCAUCUUCCAAAGCAUUCUUUGGCUAAGCAAUACCAUCUUCCACAGACAUAGAAACUACUUAAUCAAUUAAAUACUCAUCCUACACAAUCAUUUUAAACCUUAGGUUUAUGUGACACAACAACUCCAUAAGCAUGGCCACAAUCCUCACAUACAUCGAAUCAAUUAGAGUAGCAUUAGACUUAUAUCUACACUAGAACAUCCUUUGCAUAAACCACACUCCAACCUAACUUUUACCACACUAUACAACUACUCCACAACCAUGAACACAUUCACGUCACUGGGUGAUAUGGAAUGAAACAUUUUUUUGCAAGCACUAAAUACAACCAUAGCAUCACAAAAUAGAAAGGAGAGGAAAGAUUCUUCCCUAACAUCACCAUAGAACAAUACACAUAUGCACAACAACGGAUCUGACCAACAUACCACAACGCAUUAGUUAAAGACCCACAAAGAAUUAUUGUGACGAGAGUAUCUAUCAAUCUAUUCAUCAUAUCAAUUAGCCGGACAAGCGAAUCAUUUAACCACUUUCUAAAUCCGACUCGAAAUCGUGAGAUCGAUGACGAUGUCUGGUUCAAGCAAUUCAUCAAACACCAAGAAGAAGUUGUGUUGGAUUUGCUUCUCCACACAACAAUGGGAUUCCUUUGCUCCAAUCUCGCACACAUAUACACAUAUAUUACAACACUCUUUCUCAUACGCACAACAUGGUCAACAGCAGGGGACAGGAGCUCACCAGAGGGACGUGCGUUAGGCACUGGGGACGUCGACCGAGCAUAGAGAGAUGGCACGCCAGGGGAUGGAGGCAGCAGGGCACCACCAUGGGGCUGAGGAGCUCGGCUGGGCAUAGAAACAAGGAGCAGGGAACGCUGGGAGGUGGACGAACUGCAGAAGGUGGCGAGCACUUGGGGUCGCGGUGGCUUGGAGCGGCGUGAGGAAGAGCUUGCCAGGGAGGCCAGUGGACAUCACCCAUGGCAAGCGCGCAGGGGCAAGGGGGCGGGUCCGACAGGUGCGGUCAAACGCAGGGACGAAGGGGAGAGGGGUUGAGAGCAGGGGCGAGCUCCAGGGCGGCGGCACGGCAUGCCAGAUGAGGGCGAACUGGUGGGGGCGAUGCAGGGAGGGGGGCGCAGACCAGCGCUCUGGGCAGGGAGCCAGGGAGCGCGGCGUGAGGAAAUUGAGGAGGGCGGCUGCUUCACGG